ACAUGCAGUCGAGCGAAUCGAUGGGAGCUUGCUCCCUGAGAUUAGCGGCGGACGGGUGAGUAACACGUGGGCAACCUGCCUAUAAGACUGGGAUAACUUCGGGAAACCGGAGCUAAUACCGGAUACGUUCUUUUCUCGCAUGAGAGAAGAUGGAAAGACGGUUUCNGCUGUCACUUAUAGAUGGGCCCGCGGCGCAUUAGCUAGUUGGUGAGGUAAUGGCUCACCAAGGCGACGAUGCGUAGCCGACCUGAGAGGGUGAUCGGCCACACUGGGACUGAGACACGGCCCAGACUCCUACGGGAGGCAGCAGUAGGGAAUCUUCCGCAAUGGACGAAAGUCUGACGGAGCAACGCCGCGUGAACGAAGAAGGCCUUCGGGUCGUAAAGUUCUGUUGUUAGGGAAGAACAAGUACCAGAGUAACUGCUGGUACCUUGACGGUACCUAACCAGAAAGCCACGGCUAACUACGUGCCAGCAGCCGCGGUAAUACGUAGGUGGCAAGCGUUGUCCGGAAUUAUUGGGCGUAAAGCGCGCGCAGGUGGUUCCUUAAGUCUGAUGUGAAAGCCCACGGCUCAACCGUGGAGGGUCAUUGGAAACUGGGGAACUUGAGU
rnacentral:rRNA from 1 species